AACGAACGCUGGCGGCAGGCUUAACACAUGCAAGUCGAGCGCCCCGCAAGGGGAGCGGCAGACGGGUGAGUAACGCGUGGGAAUCUACCCAUCUCUACGGAAUAACGCAUGGAAACGUGUGCUAAUACCGUAUACGUCCUUCGGGAGAAAGAUUUAUCGGAGAUGGAUGAGCCCGCGUUGGAUUAGCUAGUUGGUGGGGUAAAGGCCUACCAAGGCGACGAUCCAUAGCUGGUCUGAGAGGAUGAUCAGCCACACUGGGACUGAGACACGGCCCAGACUCCUACGGGAGGCAGCAGUGGGGAAUAUUGGACAAUGGGCGCAGGCCUGAUCCAGCCAUGCCGCGUGAGUGAUGAAGACCCUAGGGUUGUAAAGCUCUUUCACCGGUGAAGAUAAUGACGGUAACCGGAGGAGAAGCCCCGGCUAACUUCGUGCCAGCCGCCGCAGUAACAC
rnacentral:rRNA from 1 species